AUCAAUAUUGCUGAAUUCAACAGCUUGCUUCAGAUGACUAGUUUAAAAAUCUCUGAAAUUCAGUCUCAGUCUGAAACAGCUCUUUAUAAAUUUCAAUAGAAAUUGGCAAGUACUAAGUACACAGGUUAAAAGGUGUAUAACUUUGCAUGUGAAAUCUGAAAUUGCACUGUAAAUUAUUGGUUAGUUCCUAGGUAUUAUUCUGUUGCAUUAACUAGGGCAUCAAUUCAAGGAAAAUUUUGACAGUCGUUUUUUCUUGCAUUUUUAAAGUUAACACUAUUUAUAACAUUAAAAAAAUUGUAGUUUAUUGUUUUCAAUUUCCAAUAUCAAAUAAAUAGCCAGGAAAAUCAUUGUUAGAUAAUAAUAUCAAAAUCUUUAACAGUUUUGAAUGCUUUUCAUGCAAUAAAUUUGAAUAGAAAUUCA
rnacentral:lncRNA from 1 species